rnacentral:rRNA from 1 species
UACGGAGGGUGCAAGCGUUAUCCGGAAUCACUGGGUUUAAAGGGUCCGUAGGCGGAUUUAUAAGUCAGUGGUGAAAGCCUAUUGCUCAACAAUAGAACUGCCAUUGAUACUGUAAGUCUUGAAUUCGGUCGAGGUGGGCGGAAUAUGACAUGUAGCGGUGAAAUGCUUAGAUAUGUCAUAGAACACCGAUAGCGAAGGCAGCUCACUGGGCCAGGAUUGACGCUGAGGGACGAAAGCGUGGGGAGCAAACAGG